AUAAUUUCCAUGACGUGGUCAAUGGGCGACCAAUAAGGCCCAUGACCCAGGUUGGUGACUUCCAUUGCACUUUGGAGGGGCGCCCGCCUAAGGUCAACCCAAGUGGUUGAUCCUACGUUUUAAUUUUGGCAGUGGGGGCUUGCAUUCAUGCGGCCCCUGU
rfam:Capsicum annuum cultivar Zunla-1 unplaced genomic scaffold scaffold3822, whole genome shotgun sequence